CCAAGAAUAUCAGCUCCUUUUCCCUAUACCAUUGUGAAUUUUGACUUUGUCUUGCAUGUGCCAAGUAUCCUAUCCCCAACAGUCUCAGAGAUGAACAAUUCCUAGGCAGAAUUUACACAUCCUGUAAAAAUGAAAUUGGUGGCCUGCAGGAAGAAAAUCUCAGGCCUUGCCUCAGAAGCAACAUAGUCCGUGAUCUUUUUUCCUAAAGGUGAAGUCAUGGCAAUAAGGAAGAAGAACCAAAGUUACUAACGCUGUCCACUUCCACAAACCCAUCUUCAUGAAACUGGCACAGCAACAGCAUCUCACUUGUUGGCCUCUUGCCUGAAGCACUGACCGCACCCUCUAACCGUAAUAACAUGACUUCAGAACACCUGCAAAUACAGCUCACACAGCAAAUUAAGCUCUGUUUGCAGGGAUAAAGUAAAAAGCACAGAAGAAAAAUCAAGAACCGUGUCCUGCUUAUAAUAUAGUAAAAGAAUAGUAAAUCACACAAAUAACUGUUCAUUUUCAAAAGAUUUAAAUUAGCAAUGAAACAAAAAGGUUGGAAAUCUUUACAUUGACUGAUAUUCUUAGGUUCCUAAGGGUUUACAUUCUGUCCUUCAUGAAAUACAAACUCUAUAGCUGAGAAGAAAAAUUACUUAUGAAAUUAUACCUAUGCGAGUUAUACUUGCCUUAGGUAAAUAAAUGUCCAUCUAUAAAUGGUAGCUUGCAACUCAAUAUUCUGCAGCAUGAGUUACUAGAGGGAAAA